rnacentral:rRNA from 1 species
AUUGAACGCUGGCGGCAGGCCUAACACAUGCAAGUCGAACGAGGGGCGGACGGGAGUGAUAUGUCGGGGAAACUGCCUGAUGGAGGGGGAUAACCACUGGAACCGGUAGCUAAUACCGCAUACCCACAUCUGUGCCCAGAUGGGAUUGGCGAGUUGGGGGGGUAACGGCUCACCAAGGCGACGAUCCCUCGCUGGUCUGAGAGGAUGACCAGCCACCCUGUGAAUGAGACACGGUCCAGACUCCUACGGGAGGCAGCAGUGGGGAAUAUUGCACAAUGGGCGCAAGCAUGAUGCAGCCAUGCCGCGGGUGUGAAGAAGGCCUUCGGGUUGUAAAGCACUUUCAGCGAGGAGGCGUUACUCGCAGAAGAAGCACCGGCUAACUCCGUGCCAGCAGCCGCGGUAAUAC